ACAUGCCUACAUCAUAGCAUUAAUGCAUUGGAUCCCAUUAGAACUCCCAAGUUAAGUGUGCUCAAGCUAGAGUAGUACUGGGAUGGGUGACUUCCUGGGAAGUCCUAGUGUUUUACAUGCC
rnacentral:rRNA from 1 species